rnacentral:misc_RNA from 1 species
UACGGAGGGUGCGAGCGUUAAUCGGAAUUACUGGGCGUAAAGGGUGCGUAGGCGGUUAUUCGUGUCAUAUGUGAAAGUCCUGGGCUUAACCUGGGUUGGACGUGUGAAACUGGAUGACUAGAGUAUGGGAGAGGACAGUGGAAUUUCCGGUGUAGCGGUGAAAUGCGUAGAUAUCGGAAGGAACAUCGGUGGCGAAGGCGACUGUCUGGCCUGAUACUGACGCUGAGGCACGAAAGCGUGGGUAGCGAACAGG